AUCUAUGGCCAUACCACCCUGAACGCGCCCGAUCUCGUCUGAUCUCGGAAGCUAAGCAGGGUAGGGCCUGGUUAGUACUUGGAUGGGAGAAAUAUUUAACAGCUCCAAAGAACACUGUAUUUUAGAAU
rnacentral:rRNA from 1 species